rnacentral:rRNA from 1 species
GAUCAUGGCUCAGGAUGAACGCUAGCUACAGGCUUAACACAUGCAAGUCGAGGGGCAGCAUGGUCUUAGCUUGCUAAGGCCGAUGGCGACCGGCGCACGGGUGAGUAACACGUAUCCAACCUGCCGUCUACUCUUGGACAGCCUUCUGAAAGGAAGAUUAAUACAAGAUGGCAUCAUGAGUCCGCAUGUUCACAUGAUUAAAGGNUCGUUCGGACGA